GAUGAACGCUGGCGGCGUGCUUAACACAUGCAAGUCGAACGAUGAAGCCCAGCUUGCUGGGUGGAUUAGUGGCGAACGGGUGAGUAACACGUGAGUAACCUGCCCUUAACUCUGGGAUAAGCCUGGGAAACUGGGUCUAAUACCGGAUAGGAGCGUCCACCGCAUGGUGGGUGUUGGAAAGAUUUAUCGGUUUUGGAUGGACUCGCGGCCUAUCAGCUUGUUGGUGAGGUAAUGGCUCACCAAGGCGACGACGGGUAGCCGGCCUGAGAGGGUGACCGGCCACACUGGGACUGAGACACGGCCCAGACUCCUACGGGAGGCAGCAGUGGGGAAUAUUGCACAAUGGGCGCAAGCCGGAUGCAGCGACGCCGCGUGAGGGAUGACGGCCUUCGGGUUGUAAACCUCUUUCAGUAGGGAAGAAGCGAAAGUGACGGUACCUGCAGAAGAAGCACCGGCUAACUACGU
rnacentral:rRNA from 1 species